rnacentral:tRNA from 1 species
ACAGCACUCGGUGACACUGAGCGACAUCAACCGAGGAUUCUCAUAAUCCGUGGGUCGUGGGUUCAAGUCCCACCCGCCCUACCA